rnacentral:rRNA from 1 species
GACGAACGCUGGCGGCGUGCCUAAUACAUGCAAGUAGAACGCUGAAGCUUGGUGCUUGCCCCGAGCGGAUGAGUUGCGAACGGGUGAGUAACGCGUAGGUAACCUGCCUGGUAGCGGGGGAUAACUAUUGGAAACGAUAGCUAAUACCGCAUAAGAGUAGAUGUUGCAUGACAUUCGCUUAAAAGGUGCAAUUGCAUCACUACCAGAUGGACCUGCGUUGUAUUAGCUAGUUGGUGAGGUAACGGCUCACCAAGGCAACGAUACAUAGCCGACCUGAGAGGGUGAUCGGCCACACUGGGACUGAGACACGGCCCAGACUCCUACGGGAGGCAGCAGUAGGGAAUCUUCGGCAAUGGACGGAAGUCUGACCGAGCAACGCCGCGUGAGUGAAGAAGGGUUUCGGAUCGUAAAGCUCUGUUGUAAGAGAAGAACGAGUGUGAGAGUGGAAAGUUCACACUGUGACGGUAGCUUACCAGAAAGGGACGGCUAACUACGUG